GAACGCUGGCGGCGUGCUUAACACAUGCAAGUCGAGCGGAAAGGCCCUUCGGGGUACUCGAGCGGCGAACGGGUGAGUAACACGUGAGCAACCUGCCCUAGGCUUUGGGAUAACCCCGGGAAACCGGGGCUAAUACCGAAUAGGACUUCUGACCGCAUGGUUGGGGGUGGAAAGUUUUUCGGCCUGGGAUGGGCUCGCGGCCUAUCAGCUUGUUGGUGGGGUGAUGGCCUACCAAGGCGACGACGGGUAGCCGGCCUGAGAGGGCGACCGGCCACACUGGGACUGAGACACGGCCCAGACUCCUACGGGAGGCAGCAGUGGGGAAUAUUGCACAAUGGGCGGAAGCCUGAUGCAGCGACGCCGCGUGAGGGAUGACGGCCUUCGGGUUGUAAACCUCUUUCAGCAGGGACGAAGCGUAAGUGACGGUACCUGCAGAAGAAGCGCCGGCCAACUACGUGCCAGCAGCCGCGGUAAGACGUAGGGCGCGAGCGUUGUCCGGAUUUAUUGGGCGUAAAGAGCUCGUAGGCGGC
rnacentral:rRNA from 1 species